rnacentral:tRNA from 1 species
ACUGACUUGUAAUCAGUAGGUCGAGGGUUCGACUCCUUUCGCCGGCA